GUCAAAUGGAGGUUAUCUGUGUGACUGUGCAUAUCACAGAACUGGAGGAGGAAGACCGGAGGAUGUGGUUUUGACAGCAGCCAGGCUCAGAUCAGGGGAGGUGACUCAAGAGGAUCCCUGAGCCAGCCCCUGAAGAAGGACCAGCUGUCCAGGAGCCUGCCCAGCCCUCAGGGAUGUGCAGCACCCAUCUGUCAAGAGUGUAAUGCCUCCAGGGUCAGUCUCUAUGGUGGGCUGCAUCUUGGCCUCCAGGCAUGAAUCAAGAUCAGGUGAAAAAUAUUAAGGCUUUUUCACCAGAUGGGAGGAUCACAGGAGGACAGGGUGGGGAUUUGUGAUGGGACUCAAAAUGACUGACAUGUGAAUGUUGC